UCCGCCGUAGGGUAAUGGCAGCCCGACAGCCUUUGAAGCUGUAAGUCCAGGAUCGAGACCUGGCGGCGGAG
rnacentral:tRNA from 1 species